rnacentral:pre_miRNA from 1 species
GUUCUACUCCCUCCGUUCGGAAUUACUUGUCACAAAAAUGGAUGUAUCUACAACUAAAAUACAUCUAGAUACAUUCAUUUCUUGGACGAGUAAUUCUGAACGGAGGGAGUACAUA